UACGUAGGGUGCGAGCGUUGUCCGGAUUUAUUGGGCGUAAAGAGCUCGUAGGCGGUUCGGUAAGUCGGGUGUGAAAACUCUGGGCUCAACCCAGAGAGGCCACCCGAUACUGCUGUGAUUAGAGCGCGGUAGGGGAGCGGGGAAUUCCUGGUGUAGCGGUGAAAUGCGCAGAUAUCAGGAGGAACACCGAUGGCGAAGGCAGGUCUCUGGGCCACUACUGACGCUGAGACGCGAAAGCGUGGGGAGCAAACAGG
rnacentral:rRNA from 1 species